UCUGUCGCGAUAUACUCACCCGUGAGCCGCGUCUUAGUCUUCUACUCAAGCAAAAACGACAAAAAAAGCAUGGAGGAAAGCACGUAAAAAGGGUAUCACACCGCGAAAGCUACACAAAGAGGUAUAGAAAAAACACUUGUCAGGAUAAACCAUUCGAAAAGCAGCAAAAACUGCAACCUUCUCUAUCCAAUAUUGCGACAGACGAAGUGCUUGUGCGAAGAUAUGUCACAAACAAAGUACAGGAACAAUCCGUCUUGUAGACAAGAGCCCCUUUAUGAUGCAAGUAAAUUUUUUACUGCCCAACAUGAAGACAGCAUAAAGAAAUGUUGAUUGUUACAAUUUGUUAUUUGGACAAUAAAAAUACAUAAGUCUGAAUGUGAUAAAAACACGUCGACUUUAUAAUGCUAAGAGCAUUUUAAUUCAUAUAAAUAUACAAGUACAAAAUGUUUUUUCUUUUUUCCCGGAAAGAGUUUGUGCGUAACUUUUAAGAUGUUCAUAAUUAUUGUUAAAAAUUAAGUUUUAAGGCUGAUUUGUUGGUUCUUAUAUGUAUGUAUAACCCGAAACUUAAUAAUUAUAAAAAGUUAUAAAUAG
rnacentral:lncRNA from 1 species